rnacentral:rRNA from 1 species
AACGAACGCUGGCGGCAGGCUUAACACAUGCAAGUCGAACGCAUGCCUUCAGGCAUGAGUGGCAGACGGGUGAGUAACGCGUGGGAACCUACCCCUUGGUACGGGAUAGCUCCGGGAAACUGGAGAUAAUACCGUAUGUGUCCUGAGGGACAAAGAUUCAUCGCCAAGGGAUGGGCCCGCGUCGGAUUAGCUAGUUGGUGGGGUAACGGCCUACCAAGGCAACGAUCCGUAGCUGGUCUAAGAGGAUGAUCAGCCACAUUGGGACUGAGACACGGCCCAAACUCCUACGGGAGGCAGCAGUGGGGAAUAUUGGACAAUGGGCGCAAGCCUGAUCCAGCCAUGCCGCGUGAGUGAUGAAGGCCCUAGGGUUGUAAAGCUCUUUCACCGGUGACGAUAAUGACGGUAACCGGAGAAGAAGCCCCGGCUAACUUCGUG